CAAAGGUACCCAAAGGACUUCUUGUGAAGAAUGAAAUUUCAACCUGCUCAUUGAAAAUUGAAGAGCUACAUUAUGGUCCUUCUUCCUCCACCUGCAGUAGUAUGAAAAUUCUUUUCUGGAGAAAGAUGAAUAAUGUCAAGAAGAAGUGUUGGGAAGCAUGUGUUGGAGAAAGCCCGGGUGGUACAUAGGUCCCUAACAUCCAG
rnacentral:lncRNA from 1 species